ACCUGACAAGGCAGCUAAUUGAGUGAUUGGGAUCACAUGGGCCCAUUCACAGGUAUUAAUGUGAAGCCAAGUGCAAACUCAUGCAUUGAAAGGCAAAAAGGACCUUCUAGAAAACAGUGGCUCCAAAAGUAGACUAAAGAUUGCUGUGGUAAGAUUUGGAUUACUGUUCCAUCCUUACUACCUGGGAGACUUAUGUGGAAAUCCAGGAGGUGAGGGACACCUCCCCAGUGGACACCACAAAAUGUCAUUGUGGGAUGUGAAGUGCCAGGUGGAGGAUGCAGUGGGGAGGAUCCCAUUGCUGGAUGUUUGGAUAGCUGCUCUGGGCUGAGAUACAAAGCCAACUCACACCAUAUGGAACAAUUCACAGGCCCCUGGUGCAGCCCAGGACAGUUUCCAAUGGACAGUGUGGGUCUGACCAGCCUUUUCUGGAGGGUGCGGAAGUAUUAAUGCAAGGUAUGGAUAUGUGUCAUGCCAUGCCAAGUGUGAUCUAAAGAUGAAUAGAAUAGAAUAUGAAGGUGUAUAAAGAUUUAAUCUUUAUAGAGAGUUCUUGAGAACAUCAGUGCAAACCU